AUAGGUAUAGGAAAAAGAGUAUAAAUAAGUAGAAAUAAGUAUAUAGUCAAGUACAUAAGCAUAAAUAAUAAAGAUAAUAA
rnacentral:tRNA from 1 species